UUCCCCCCUGUUUAACAAAAACCUUGUUCUUUUGGUUAAAAUAAAAGAUUUGGCCUGCCCUAUGAUUUAUUUUAAAUGGCUGCAGUAUUUUGACUGUACAAAGGUAGCAUAAUCAUUUGUCUUUUAAUUGAAGGCUGGUAUGAAUGGUUGGAUGAGGAAUAUACUUUCUUUAUUUUAUAUAAAAAAAUUAAUUUCUUAGUCAAAAAGCUAAGAUUUUUUUAAAGGACGAGAAGACCCUAUAGAACUUUAUUUUUUAUUUUUUAUAAAAUUUUUGGUUAAUUACAAUUUUAUAAAAAAUUAUUAAUUAUGUUGGGGUGAUGGAAAAAAUUAUAUAACUUYUUCUAUUUAUAGCAUUUAUUUAUGUUUUUUUGAUCUUAUUUUAUAGAAAACAAGAUUAAGUUACCUUAGGGAUAACAGCGUUAUUUUUUUGGAGAGUUCUUAUCGAUAAAAGAGUUUGCGACCUCGAUGUUGGAUUAAAAUAAGUGGCAGGGGUAGAAUAUUGCUUUCUAGGUCUGUUCGACCUUUAAAUUUUUACAUGAUCUGGUUUUCAACCCGGGAAC
rnacentral:rRNA from 1 species